CCUACGGGUGGCAGCAGUGAGGAAUAUUGGUCAAUGGGCGGGAGCCUGAACCAGCAAAGUCGCGUGAAGGAAGAAGGUACUUAGUAUUGUAAACUUCUUUUGUCGGGGAACAAAGGCGGAGACGCGUCUCCGGAUGAGUGUACCCGCAGAAAAAGCAUCGGCUAACUCCGUGCCAGCAGCCGCGGUAAUACGGAGGAUGAGAGCGUUAUCCGGAGUUAUUGGGUUGAAAGGGUGCGUAGGCGGUCGGGUAAGUUAGAGGUGAAAUCCCGAGGCUCAACUUCGGAAUUGCCUCUGAUGCUGUUCGGCUAGAGCGUAGGUGCGGUAGGCGGAAUGUAUGGUGUAGCGGUGAAAUGCUUAGAGAUCAUACAGAACACCGAUGGCGAAGGCAGCUUACCAAGCUACUUCUGACGUUGAGGCACGAAAGCGUGGGGAGCAAACAGGAUUAGAUACCCGUGUAGUC
rnacentral:rRNA from 1 species